rnacentral:lncRNA from 1 species
UUCGAAUUUGCUAAACCUAUGAUAUGUUACGAAUUCCAAGCUAGCAGGCUAACGUUAGCUAGGUAAUGCGUUAGAGGUUAAUGUUAGGAGUUAGGUGGAGGGUUAGGGGAAGGGUUAGCUAACAUGAUAAGUAGUUGCAAAGUAGCUAAAAAUGUGUAAGUACUUGCAAAGUUGCUAAUGAACUAAAAUGCUAAAGUUGUAAUGAGAUUCGAAGACGUAACGUUUGGGUUGCUAGACGGUCACGUUAUACAAAACCUAACAUAUCAUUCUAACUUCAGUGUCUAUGAGACCAGUCUGGUUUAUGGACACUAUAAAGUUGUUUUCAGUAGCUUCACCAUCGGGCAGUCCGAAGGACGAAUCUGGUUUUGGCUCCCGAGUGGCGCAGUGGUCUAAGGACCUCAUCUCAGUGCUAGAGGCAUCACUACAGACACCCUGGUUGGAAUCCAGGCUGUAUUACAACCGGCCGUGAUUGGGAGUCCAUAGGGCGGCGCACAAUUGGCCCAGCGUCGUCCGGGUUUGGCCGGUGUAGGCUGUCAUUAAUUUUUACCGAAUAGAAACGUUGAGCUGUUGUUUCUCCAUUCGGCUGCUAGAGGGCACCAAACCCCUUUGCAUCAGGCCCACGCCACGAACCCUGCUGCAGGAACUCACUCACUGCCUGUAUAACGCCUGGGUUGCCAAUUCUGCCCACUCUGACUCUGGACCCUGUCUCCAGUCCAACUUCUCGUCAGUCCUGCUACUCUGUCCUGGUUUCCCCACUCUACGGCUCCCUUGGAUUCCCCUCCGGAGCUGCUUACCCUGUCCCAACACCUCUCGCUCUCGCACCUGGUUUCCGGCAACCCGCCCGAGCUUCCCCUGACCUACACUCCAUCUUCCCCCUGUGUUCCAAUAAAUACCUUGCUUAUUUCAUC